rnacentral:lncRNA from 1 species
AAGGUUAGUUGGCAAGCCCGUAAAACCAACAUUAUAGGUUGUUGGUGAGCCCGUAAAACCAACGUAGGUUAUUGGUGAUCCCGAAAAACCAAAGUGUAAAGGUUUUUGAAUUGUGAGCCCGAAAAACAAUCCAACUGUAGUCCGCGGAAUUAUAGUAAAUUUCCAAGGGGAUGCUUGGGGAGUGGACGUAGGUGCUUAGGAGAGCACCGAACCAUUAUAUUUCUUAUGUGUUUGUAUUGUGUGCCUUUCUAAUUUCACUACAUGCACUCAAUUAAUAUUAGCUAAACUACCCAUUCAUCUAUCAAUUUGAUUAGGGGAUUAAAAACUUAGAAAAACCAAUUCACCCCCCUCCCCCCUCUUGGCUUGUCACCUAGGGCAACACUUAAUGUUUC